CGGUGGAGUGAUUUGUCUGGUUAAUUCCGAUAACGAACGAGACCUUAACCUGCUAACUAGUAGCGAGUACAUUUGUAUUCGGAGACUUCUUAGAGGGACUGACUAUGUUUAAUAGUCGGAAGUUUGAGGCAAUAACA
rnacentral:rRNA from 1 species